CGCGGUGCGGGGGUCGGCGGCGCUGCGACCGGGGUCGCGGGCGGCAUCGGCGAUCGCCGGAGCGCGCCAGACGUGACAGGGCAGGCUCAGUCAUGUCGGGGUCCCGGUACUCGAAAUCGUCCUUCUCCUACACGUCAUCAAGAUCGACGGCGCGCUCAUCAGGCUUUGUCUCAGAGCUGAGCUCCGCUGUGAGCAAGGCCGGCUCCAAGGUGACGUCGGAGAAUGUGCACCAGUCCGGGGAGGUGAUGGUGCACGAGGAGGCGUCGGAGAUCAGCACCUCGUCCACGACGG